rnacentral:rRNA from 1 species
UGAACGCUGGCGGCGUGCCUAAUACAUGCAAGUCGAACGCUGGAGAUCUAGCUUGCUAGAUCGAAGGAGUGGCGAACGGGUGAGUAAUACAUAAGCAACCUACCCACGAAGACUGGGAUAAUCUCUGGAAACGGGGACUAAUACCGGAUAGGUAAUCGGAAGGCAUCUUCUGGUUAUUAAAGGUUAAAAACACUGGUGGAUGGGCUUAUGGCGCAUUAGUUAGUUGGUGAGGUAACGGCCCACCAAGACGAUGAUGCGUAGCCGGCCUGAGAGGGUGAACGGCCACAUUGGGACUGAGACACGGCCCAGACUCCUACGGGAGGCAGCAGUAGGGAAUUUUCGGCAAUGGGGGCAACCCUGACCGAGCAACGCCGCGUGAGUGAAGACGGCCUUCGGGGUGUAAAGCUCUGUUGUAAGGGAAGAACGGUAGAUAGAGAAUAUCUAAGUGACGGUACCUUACCAGAAAGCCACGGCUAACUACGUG